CCUGGGCUCACAUGAAUCGCAUGCGACGACACUAGCCAAUCGGCCAGGAGGGAGAUCUGUCCGAACGGUAGAAUUGAACGGUACAUAUACCAAUAGUACACUCGCCAGCAACAAGGUAAAUCUGUGAACUUCAAAAGUACACCUGCCGAAAGGUAUAUAUGAUUUGGCAAGAUUACUCCUGUUAGUAAUACACUCCCUUGAGCUGUGAAUCCUCCCUGCCCUCACCAAUGAACCCCAAGAUUUAAAAAUUUCCUGCAAACGCUGAAAAUACCAUCUGUUAAUAUAGGAUGGCACAGGCUGUGUCCUCAAUGGAUUCCUUUUUUUUUGUAAUUUUUAUCGGUUAAAAAUUUUGAAUUUUGUUUUAUAGUUCAGUGGUCUCUUUCAAUACUGUCUCCUAUCUGACGUUUGAAGGCGUAACCUUGUGUGAAGAAAUUGAGGCUCUGAAAGUGUGUCCAGAUAAUAAUCUAGACUCGUGUUUUCAUCGUUUACAUCUGGUUGUCAUUGCGAUAUCAGAAGUAUUGCAAGCGAUCAAUUUCUACAAGGACUGUGCACAUUUAUUGGAAGAGGAUAAAAAAAAUAGUCACGCACCUCCAUCGUAAGUUACUGUUUUGUUCAAUGUAUCUUGCGGCUUUUUCCGAGUUCUCGUGGUAUAUUCAUUUAUACGGCGUAUUUUAGCCAGCUGUGUGAUUAUUUUCAAAUUUUAUAAAAUAUCCCUCUGCAAAACCAAUUAUUUCUCACAUCUUAUGAAAUACCACUGUGCAAAACAAUUAUUUCUCACAUCAUAUAAAAUAGCACUCUGCAAACCAUGUUUACGUAUUCCUCAAGGUUUGAAGACCAUUGCUUGAUAAAAGCCCGUGUGAUCACCAGGUUCACUUAAAAUCCGCCGAAAAUAUUUAUUUCUUGUUAGAUUAAUCCUUUGAUCAUGAGUAGGACGUGAGAGGAAAGAAACACACAAUGACUUUCAUUAAGUAAUCGGCAUUAAUUUAGUAACAUUUAGUGAUAAGGACAGAUGCUUAUAACUAAACAGAAUGAUAGGU
rnacentral:lncRNA from 1 species